CAGAGAAGUGAUGCAGGAAACCUGCAGGAACCUGACUUCUGUAGGAAACAAACGGAACGACCAGAAUAUUGAAGAUCACUUCAAAAAACCUGGGAAAGAUACAAGAUAAUUUGCACUGAGAAGAGGAAAUAAAGUCCUCUGAAGGAAUCUUAGCAUGUCAUAAACUUAAAAACAAGCAAUCAAAGCAAAUAAGAGUCACUUGAAAUUCAUUUCUUUUUAGAAAAAUUUCACCGAAAAUGUAACGUACUUCAGUGUAGCAGUCAGUGUUUGGAAAACAGUUUACUUGAAAAUAGUACUACAAAAUUGCAUACAUGAAUGUUACCAUUUUGGUCAUAACCAUGCAGGUGGUAGCUGUGUUUUCAGCAGUAGCCCAUUUACUUUCAAGUAAUUCAGUCGUGGCACAAAAACAACAACAACAAAAAAACACAAAAAUCAAUUUUCCCUGGUAUUGGUAGCAGUGUAAGUUGAAGACCUAUGAAUAAGUAGAAAGUUAUUAAACCAACCAAUAGUAAUGUGCUUGUCAUUUUUUUUUUAACCGAAAUCACAUGGUACAGAGACUGUGUGAAAGCAAAGAAGGUAGUCAGUAUGGACAAGUUGUCAGCCACAUACGAAAUCUUGGUCUGAAUGAGAACAUUUCUACUGGAUUAAAACAAUGUGUAUGCAGUA